rnacentral:rRNA from 1 species
UACGUAGGGUGCAAGCGUUGUCCGGAAUUAUUGGGCGUAAAGAGCUCGUAGGCGGUCUGUCGCGUCUGCUGUGAAAACUCAGGGCUUAACCCUGAGCUUGCAGUGGGUACGGGCAGACUAGAGUGCGGUAGGGGAGACUGGAAUUCCUGGUGUAGCGGUGAAAUGCGUAGAGAUCGGGAGGAACACCAGUGGCGAAGGCGGCUUGCUGGGCCGGACCUGACGCUGAGACGCGAAGGCGUGGGGAGCGAACGGG